AGGGAAGCUGAGCUGACCUGGGCGUCGAACGACGAACGGGGCUUGAUUCUGGAUUAGUGGCGAACGGGUGAGUAACACGUGAGUAACCUGCCCUUGACUCUGGGAUAAGCCUGGGAAACUGGGUCUAAUACCGGAUAUGACCUUCCAUCGCAUGGUGGUUGGUGGAAAGCUUUUGUGGUUUUGGAUGGACUCGCGGCCUAUCAGCUUGUUGGUGAGGUAAUGGCUUACCAAGGCGACGACGGGUAGCCGGCCUGAGAGGGUGACCGGCCACACUGGGACUGAGACACGGCCCAAACUCCUACGGGAGGCAGCAGUGGGGAAUAUUGCACAAUGGGCGCAAGCCUGAUGCAGCGACGCCGCGUGAGGGAUGACGGCCUUCGGGUUGUAAACCUCUUUCAGUAGGGAAGAAGCCGCAAGGUGACGGUACCUGCAGAAGAAGCGCCGGCUAACUACGUGCCAGCAGCCGCGGUAAUACGUAGGGCGCAAGCGUUAUCCGGGAAUUAUUGGGCGUAAAGAGCUCGUAGGCGGUUUGUCGCGUCUGCCGUGAAAGUCCGGGGCUCAACUCCGGGAUCUGCGGUGGGUACGGGCAGACUAGAGUGAUGUAGGGGAGACUGGAAUUCCUGGUGUAGCGGUGAAAUGCGCAGAUAUCAGGAGGAACACCGAUGGCGAAGGCAGGUCUCUGGGCAUUAACUGACGCUGAGGAGCGAAAGCAUGGGGAGCGAACAGGAUUAGAUACCCUGGUAGUCCAUGCCGUAAACGUUGGGCACUAGGUGUGGGGGACAUUCCACGUUUUCCGCGCCGUAGCUAACGCAUUAAGUGCCCCGCCUGGGGAGUACGGCCGCAAGGCUAAAACUCAAAGGAAUUGACGGGGGCCCGCACAAGCGGCGGAGCAUGCGGAUUAAUUCGAUGCAACGCGAAGAACCUUACCAAGGCUUGACAUGAACCGGACCGCCGCAGAAAUGUGGUUUCCCCUUUGGGGCUGGUUUACAGGUGGUGCAUGGUUGUCGUCAGCUCGUGUCGUGAGAUGUUGGGUUAAGUCCCGCAACGAGCGCAACCCUCGUUCUAUGUUGCCAGCACGUGAUGGUGGGGACUCAUAGGAGACUGCCGGGGUCAACUCGGAGGAAGGUGGGGACGACGUCAAAUCAUCAUGCCCCUUAUGUCUUGGGCUUCACGCAUGCUACAAUGGCCGGUACAAAGGGUUGCGAUACUGUGAGGUGGAGCUAAUCCCAAAAAGCCGGUCUCAGUUCGGAUUGGGGUCUGCAACUCGACCCCAUGAAGUCGGAGUCGCUAGUAAUCGCAGAUCAGCAACGAUGCGGUGAAUACGUUCCCGGGCCUUGUACACACCACCCG
rnacentral:rRNA from 1 species